rnacentral:rRNA from 1 species
ACGAAGGGGGCAAGCGUUGUUCGGAAUGACUGGGCGUAAAGGGCGUGUAGGCGGACUUUUAAGUGAGUUGUUAAAUCCUUGGGCUUAACCUGAGGACUGCAAUUCAUACUGGGAGUCUUGAAUCUGGAAGGGGAGAAUGGAAUUGCCCAUGGAGAGGUGAAAUUCGUAGAUAUGGGCAGGAAUACCGGUGGUGAAGACGAUUCUCUGGUACAAGAUUGACGCUGAGGCGCGAAAGCGUGGGGAGCAAACAG